rnacentral:rRNA from 1 species
UAACGCGUGAGGAACCUGCCUUUCAGAGGGGGACAACAGUUGGAAACGACUGCUAAUACCGCAUAACAUAUGUUUGUCGCAUGGCAGAUAUAUCAAAGAUUUAUCGCUGAGAGAUGGCCUCGCGUCUGAUUAGCUAGUUGGUAGGGUAACGGCCUACCAAGGCGACGAUCAGUAGCCGGACUGAGAGGUUGGCCGGCCACAUUGGGACUGAGAUACGGCCCAGACUCCUACGGGAGGCAGCAG